UACGUAGGUGGCAAGCGUUGUCCGGAAUUAUUGGGCGUAAAGCGCGCGCAGGCGGUCCUUUAAGUCUGAUGUGAAAGCCCACGGCUCAACCGUGGAGGGUCAUUGGAAACUGGGGAACUUGAGUGCAGAAGAGAAAAGCGGAAUUCCACGUGUAGCGGUGAAAUGCGUAGAGAUGUGGAGGAACACCAGUGGCGAAGGCGACUAUCUGGUCUGUAACUGACACUGAGGCGCGAAAGCGUGGGGAGCAAACAGG
rnacentral:rRNA from 1 species